rnacentral:rRNA from 1 species
AGAACGAACGCUGGCGGCAUGCCUAAUACAUGCAAGUCGAACGAACUCUUCGGAGUUAGUGGCGCACGGGUGCGUAACGCGUGGGAAUCUGCCCUUGGGUUCGGAAUAACAGUUGGAAACGACUGCUAAUACCGGAUGAUGACGAAAGUCCAAAGAUUUAUCGCCCAGGGAUGAGCCCGCGUAGGAUUAGCUAGUUGGUGAGGUAAAGCUCA